rnacentral:misc_RNA from 1 species
CAGAGUUCAUGCCCUAACGGGUAGAUCUCCCACCCUUGUGUAAUUAUAACCAUCUGUUGCUUUGGCGGGGCGUGAGUUCGCUCACCCCGUGUACCCGCCAGAGGACCAAUAAAUUCUGAAUAUUAGUGUCGUCUGAGUACUAUAUAAUAGUUA